rnacentral:tRNA from 1 species
GGAAUUUAGCUCAGUAGGUAGAGUGCCAGCCUCUCAUGCACAAGGACCUGGGUUCAAUUCCCAGUUCCA